AUUGCAAUUUCAAAUAAUCCCUAUUAGGGAUUUAAAA
rnacentral:other from 1 species